AUUGAACGCUGGCGGCAUGCCUUACACAUGCAAGUCGAUCGGCAGCACGGGGCAACCUGGUGGCGAGUGGCGAACGGGUGAGUAAUGCAUCGGAACGUACCUUUCAGUGGGGGAUAACGUAGCGAAAGUUACGCUAAUACCGCAUAUUCUGUGAGCAGGAAAGCAGGGGAUCGCAAGACCUUGCGCUGAUUGAGCGGCCGAUGUCAGAUUAGCUAGUUGGUGAGGUAAAGGCUCACCAAGGCGACGAUCUGUAGCGGGUCUGAGAGGAUGAUCCUCCACAAUGGAACUGAGACACGGUCCAGACUCCUACGGGAGGCAGCAGUGGGGAAUUUUGGACAAUGGGGGCAACCCUGAUCCAGCCAUGCCGCGUGAGUGAAGAAGGCCUUCGGGUUGUAAAGCUCUUUCGGCCGGGAAGAAAUCGCACGGGCUAAUACCCUGUGUGGAUGACGGUACCGGAAUAAGAAGCACCGGCUAACUACGUGCCAGCAGCCGCCGUAACAC
rnacentral:rRNA from 1 species